CCACUGACAAAACUGCUGUUUUUACUGUUUUGGUAGGGGGAAGUUUUUUCAAAAUCUCCCCUAUGUGAUGGAAUUGUGCUCCAGGGAAGCUGUCCAUCUGGAUUUCUUCACUGGCAAAUUGUGGCACUCGAGCUAGAUUUGAAUCUCCUAUUAUUAUAAUAGCUUUUCUAGGUGUGAGGUGCCAAUUCCUAAUUUUAUGCUCCGUUCUCUGGUGGACCGUGGGUUCACAGUCGGAGGUCACCGCGGCCCCAGAGUGCAGACGAGGAGGCCGCAGCUGCUCCGGCUGCUUAGACCGUGGUUCUGGAGCUGGAGGGGGAGAGGAGGAGACAGUGAUUUGAGAAGGGGAUUGUGGCUGGGACAGCGUUAGGGGGUCCUCAAAGGUCUGCAGGGGGGCCCCCUGUGUUUCAUGCCACAGCCCUCCAGAAGAGUGGAUGACGCUGUCGAUACAGGAGGUAUCUGCAAAGGAGAAGCGAUAUUCAUUCUUGCAGUGUGUGGAUGAGCCGGUGUGGGUUCCACCGGUUCCUGUGGUUUGGCA